UGUGCCCUUGAGGCGUGGCUUCCGGAGCUAACGCGUUAAGUAGACCGCCUGGGGAGUACGGCCGCAAGGUUAAAACUCAAAUGAAUUGACGGGGGCCCGCACAAGCGGUGGAGCAUGUGGUUUAAUUCGAUGCAACGCGAAGAACCUUACCUGGUCUUGACAUCCACGGAAGAAUCCAGAGAUGGAUUUGUGCCUUCGGGAGCCGUGAGACAGGUGCUGCAUGGCUGUCGUCAGCUCGUGUUGUGAAAUGUUGGGUUAAGUCCCGCAACGAGCGCAACCCUUAUCCUUUGUUGCCAGCGGUCCGGCCGGGAACUCAAAGGAGACUGCCAGUGAUAAACUGGAGGAAGGUGGGGAUGACGUCAAGUCAUCAUGGCCCUUACGACCAGGGCUACACACGUGCUACAAUGGCGCAUACAAAGAGAAGCGACCUCGCGAGAGCAAGCGGACCUCAUAAAGUGCGUCGUAGUCCGGAUUGGAGUCUGCAACUCGACUCCAUGAAGUCGGAAUCGCUAGUAAUCGUGGAUCAGAAUGCCACGGUGAAUACGUUCCCGGGCCUUGUACACACCGCCCGUCACACCAUGGGAGUGGGUUGCAAAAGAAGUAGGUAGCUUAACCUUCGGGAGGGCGCUUACCACUUUGUGAUUCAUGACUGGGGUGAAGUCGUAACAAGGUAACCGUAGGGGAACCUGCGGUUGGA
rnacentral:rRNA from 1 species